rnacentral:tRNA from 1 species
UGCCUUGAUGGUGAAAUGGUAGACACAAUUGAUUCAAAAUUAAUAGGCAGCGAAGCUGCCAAUAGAGGUUCGAGUCCUCUUCAAGGCAA